CCUCAAGAUGAGUGCUCUCCUA
rnacentral:rRNA from 3 species